UGGCAGCUACCUGAUCUUCCUAGUUCCUAUAAAAAACCUUUACUGAAGUUUGGGAGGCUCAUAAGUUUCAGUCUAUAAUGGAGUCCAUUAGUUCAGAUCCAGUAGAUAUUACAUCAUUAAGAGGAGAGGCUAUUACUAAAGGAGGUCUAUUGUGUAAUGAAUUGAGGAGGAAAGCAUAGACCAAACUAUUAGGAAUCAACAUAUACAACAUACCAUCAUGUGAGGACUAGCCUCAUGUAACACUAAUGUCAUGUGACAAAUAUAAUAUAUUAUACAGUGUAGUUGGUGAUAUUGGUAGACUAUUAAUAUUGGUUGGUUGGGUGUUGUAUGAGCACCUGUCAAUAUAAAAUACACUCCAUUUUGUUUCAUUUCUUUA